GACGAACGCUGGCGGCGUGCUUAACACAUGCAAGUCGAACGGAAAGGCCCCUUUGGGGGUACUCGAGUGGCGAACGGGUGAGUAACACGUGAGUAACCUGCCCUUGACUUCGGGAUAACUUCAGGAAACUGGGGCUAAUACCGGAUAGGAAUCCUUGCUGCAUGGUGGGGGUUGGAAAGCUUCGGCGGUUUUGGAUGGACUCGCGGCUUAUCAGCUUGUUGGUGGGGUAGUGGCUUGCCAAGGCUUUGACGGGUAGCCGGCCUGAGAGGGCGACCGGCCACAUUGGGACUGAGAUACGGCCCAGACUCCUACGGGAGGCAGCAGUGGGGAAUAUUGCACAAUGGGCGGAAGCCUGAUGCAGCAACGCCGCGUGCGGGAUGACGGCCUUCGGGUUGUAAACCGCUUUCAGCAGGGGAGAAGCUUGUGGUGACGGUACCUGCAGAAGAAGCACCGGCUAACUACGUG
rnacentral:rRNA from 1 species